UGAAGCUGUUACUAUCUGCAAAAGUAAUUGAGUAAAAUCACUACAUAGGUUGGAACUGCUGGAACAACCACAAAUGAAUCUCAAAAGAAUAAUGUUGAAAGAAAGAAGUCGGAUGCAAAAUAGUGCACUACACACUGCAGAUUCCAUUCAUGUGCUGCUACAUGCCCUCUGGCCUGCAUUUGCAGUAUGGUUUCCAAGUUGCUGACAAGCAGAAACCGGUGCCAACAUGAAGAGG